GUUACACAGGGGCCCUGUGGGAAACUGAUGACCUAGAAACUGUCUGUUGGCUUCAGUGCAAUCACCAGCUGGGUUUUAUGAUGGUUUGGCCUGGCUGUGCUCCAAAACUGCAGUCUUUACUGCAAACCCUCAAGCACCUUAGUGUUAUGUUGUGUAAAGGAAGAUGACCUUGAAGGUGUCCUGAACAAGGCUGACUGGGGGAAGUUUCCUGUUCAUUUCAGAAGCAUGAACCCCACAGCAGGCUGUUCAAUAGGUGUGAAACACCGCCUGAUGGAGGCACACUGUAUGACAGCAGCAUAAGCAUCUGCGUUCUUUUUCAGAUCCACAGUGAGACAGAGAUGUGUGACCAGACAUCCAUCCAUCCACUAACGAAAUGGAAAUGCUUUUAAUAGAACACAUUAGUCAGAUGUUGGUGCCCCCUGUCUGCUGCCACCAGCAUUACAGAGUUCAUCCCCUGCCUUGCAGCACUCCCCUACAGCUGGGCUCCACACCCGCUCCUCAAACCCUAGGGAUAUUCUUACAAAUCAACAAGUGGGUGCGAUUGGAUCACUGUGUUGAAUAAGCGGAUUUGGACCAGUGGAGCAAUUCUUAUCCAUCAACAAACCACACAGCCUUUUCACAAGCCAGUUUUUGUGAGAUGUUCUUUUUCGCCUGAGCAGCAGAAAAAGGAGCAGAAGAAAAGUGAAAUCAAAGAGUAAAAGUCAGGUUCCUGCCCAGUAACCAUUCAGCUUGUGAAAGGGUCAAAUACUGCUGUGUUCUGUCUAUUUUGUCUGCCAACAGUUCUCAGCUGCCGUGCCGUCAGCUUUCACAGGGAAUAGCUUCACUGUCUGCUUUAUCUUUACACAUGACAGGGGACCUGAAUGUCAUUUGACUGCAGGCCUGGCAGCUUGCCGAAUGGAGCAAGAGGCAGAGGGAGGGAGAGUCAGGAGAAUUGGAAUGUAUUUCAGGUCUGAAGCAAAUGGUGCAUUGCUGCAACUCGCAUCUCAGGGAAGGAGGGAGUUUAAAGGCGGGGGAUAUGGAGGAAAGCAGCUGGGAGGGGGAGGAUUUUGCUGCAAACUGUUGCUAGGAAACACUUGUGGCAUCUCUUCUCCCUCUCCUGAAAUGCCAGAACUAACUGACAGAGAAUUUGGAGAGAAAUAUCAGUCUGAUCCUCCCAGGCAUUUGAAGAAUGUGGUGCAUGUUUCUAUUUAAGUAGGCUUGUUUAUCAAAGGGUUCUCAAAGAGUCAACGCAAGCCUUUCUUCUGCCAGAGCAGAGAAUGUUUAGGAUGCAGGCUGGAGUGUCUGUUGCAUCCUUUCCAUCUUCUGUUUGCCUUUUUUUCUUUGUUUUAUCCCCCUUAGUCUGCCUCUUUUUGUACUCCCUUAUUUUCUCCCUGAGUGAGUGAAGGAAGGGCCUUCACUCACCACAGCUGAGCACUAUUACUUUGUCUCAUUAUUCUUCUCUUUGCCUGCUUUGAUUGGUCCCCCUCACUCCCUAGCUCACUCUCUUUUUCACAGUCCAAGAUAUAUGGUCCAUCAGUAUAAUCUUCUGCCCAGAUAUCUGAUU